rnacentral:rRNA from 1 species
UUACUACUUGGAUAACCGUGGUAAUUCUAGAGCUAAUACAUGCUGAAAAUCCCGACUUCGGAAGGGAUGUAUUUAUUAGAUUAAAAACCAAUGCCCUCCGGGGCUCACUGGUGAUUCAUGAUAACUUCUCGAAUCGCAUGGCCUUGCGCCGGCGAUGGUUCAUUCAAAUUUCUGCCCUAUCAACUUUCGACUGCUGGGUCUUGGCCAGCAAUGGUGACAACGGGUAACGGAGGGUUAGGGCUCGACCCCGGAGAAGGAGCCUGAGAAACGGCUACUACAUCCAAGGAAGGCAGCAGGCGCGCAAAUUACCCAAUCCCGACACGGGGAGGUAGUGACAAUAAAUACUGAUACAGGGCUCUUUUGGGUCUUGUAAUUGGAAUGAGUACAAUUUAAAUCCCUUAACGAGGAACAAUUGGAGGGCAAGUCUGGUGCCAGCAGCCGCGGUAAUUCCAGCUCCAAUAGCGUAUAUUAAAGUUGUUGCAGUUAAAAAGCUCGUAGUUGAACCUUGGGCCUGGCCGGCCGGUCCGCCUCACCGCGUGCACUGGUUCGGCCGGGCCUUUUCCUCUGGCGAGCCCCAUGCCCUUCACUGGGCGUGUGGGGGAACCAGGACUUUUACUUUGAAAAAAUUAGAGUGUUCAAAGCAGGCCUAUGCUCGAAUACAUUAGCAUGGAAUAAUAGAAUAGGACGUGCGGUUCUAUUUUGUUGGUUUCUAGGACCGCCGUAAUGAUUAAUAGGGACAGUCGGGGGCAUCAGUAUUCAAUUGUCAGAGGUGAAAUUCUUGGAUUUAUUGAAGACUAACUACUGCGAAAGCAUUUGCCAAGGAUGUUUUCAUUAAUCAGGAACGAAAGUUAGGGGAUCGAAGACGAUCAGAUACCGUCGUAGUCUUAACCAUAAACUAUGCCGACUAGGGAUCGGACGAUGUUAUUUUUUGACUCGUUCGGCACCUUACACGAAA